GAUGAACGCUGGCGGCGUGCUUAACACAUGCGAGUCGAACGGAAAGGCCCAAGCUUGCUUGGGUACUCGAGUGGCGAACGGGUGAGUAACACGUGGGUGAUCUGCCCUGCACUUCGGGAUAAGCCUGGGAAACUGGGUCUAAUACCGGAUAGGACCACUUCUUGGAUGUUGUGGUGGAAAGUUUUUUCGGUGUGGGAUGAGCUCGCGGCCUAUCAGCUUGUUGGUGGGGUAAUGGCCUACCAAGGCGUCGACGGGUAGCCGGCCUGAGAGGGUGUACGGCCACAUUGGGACUGAGAUACGGCCCAGACUCCUACGGGAGGCAGCAGUGGGGAAUAUUGCACAAUGGGCGCAAGCCUGAUGCAGCGACGCCGCGUGGGGGAUGACGGCCUUUGGGUUGGAAACUCCUUUCGCUAGGGACGAAGCGUUUUGUGACGGUACCUGGAGAAGAAGCACCGGCUAACUACGUG
rnacentral:rRNA from 1 species